GGGCCCGUAGCUUAGGCUGGAAGAGCACUUGGCUCUUAACCAAGGGGUCGGGGGUUCAAAUCCCUCCGGGCUCA
rnacentral:tRNA from 1 species